rfam:Clostridium sp. CAG:1013 genomic scaffold, scf94
GGGGAUGUAAAGGUUUCGACGGGGAAGGAAAGCCCUGGUAAGCGAGCAGCGGUGCGGGACCGCUAUAAAAUCCGCAAACUUUAAAAUUAAACGACAACAAUACUGUUGCUGUUGCUGCUUAAUUAAGCAGCCGUUCUACCCCGGAGUACCGCGGCCGGGACUAGAGCGUCGAUGAGCGGUGAACGUGAACGGGGUGACGCCCUUACCCCCGUCACGGUUUAAGGGCUACCAAAGCCUCCAGCCUGCUUUUGGGCGUGAGGCUGCGGGAAUCUUAAAACAAAAGCUACGCUCGUAGAAAGCCUUGGUAAUCCUUUUUCGGACGCGGGUUCGAUUCCCGCCAUCUCCACCA